rnacentral:miRNA from 5 species
UAUCACAGCCAUUUUGAUGA